rnacentral:rRNA from 1 species
AAUUUGGAGAGUUUGAUCCUGGCUCAGGACGAACGCUGGCGGCGUGCCUAAUACAUGCAAGUCGAGCGGAUCUUGUCCUUCGGGACAAGGUUAGCGGCGGACGGGUGAGUAACACGUGGGUAACCUGCCUGUAAGACUGGGAUAACAUUCGGAAACGAAUGCUAAUACCGGAUACGCAGCUUGGUCGCAUGACCGGGCUGGGAAAGAUGGAGCAAUCUAUCACUUAUAGAUGGACCCGCGGCGCAUUAGCUAGUUGGUGAGGUAACGGCUCACCAAGGCGACGAUGCGUAGCCGACCUGAGAGGGUGAUCGGCCAC